GUAGUUGUGGCUGAGUGAUUAAGGUGGUGGAGUAGAAAUCCAUUGGGGUCUCCCUGCACAGGGUCAAGUCCUGCUAACUUCA
rnacentral:tRNA from 1 species